rnacentral:rRNA from 1 species
UACAGAGGGGGCAAGCGUUGUUCGGAAUUACUGGGCGUAAAGGGCGCGUAGGCGGCCUUCUAAGUCGAACGUGAAAUCCCUGGGCUUAACCCAGGAACUGCGUCCGAUACUGGGAGGCUUGAAUUCGGGAGAGGGAUGCGGAAUUCCAGGUGUAGCGGUGAAAUGCGUAGAUAUCUGGAGGAACACCGGUGGCGAAGGCGGGUCUCUGGGCCGAUACUGACGCUGAGGAGCGAAAGCGUGGGGAGCGAACAGG